AGAAUCAACGCUGGCGGCGUGCCUAACACAUGCAAGUCGCACGAGAAAGGGGCUUCGGCUCUGAGUAAAGUGGCGCACGGGUGAGUAACACGUGAAUUAUCUACCUCCGAGUGGGGAAUAACUGAGAGAAAUCUUAGCUAAUACCGCAUAACACUUACGGGUCAAAGCAGCAAUGCGCUUGGAGAGGAGUUCGCGGCCGAUUAGUUAGUUGGCGGGGUAAUGGCCCACCAAGACGAUGAUUGGUA
rnacentral:rRNA from 1 species